AACCUAAGCAAUAACUCUUUCAUCCUCUCACUCCUUUUAACUCACACUCACAUAAACACUAGAAUG
rnacentral:tRNA from 1 species